rnacentral:rRNA from 1 species
UACGUAGGGUGCAAGCGUUAAUCGGAAUUACUGGGCGUAAAGCGUGCGCAGGCGGUUGUGCAAGACAGAUGUGAAAUCCCCGGGCUUAACCUGGGAAUUGCAUUUGUGACUGCACGGCUAGAGUGUGUCAGAGGGGGGUAGAAUUCCACGUGUGAGCAGUGAAAUGCGUAGAUAUGUGGAGGAAUACCGAUGGCGAAGGCAGCCCCCUGGGAUAACACUGACGCCUCAUGCACGAAGCGUGGGAGCAAACAGGA